UACGUGGGGAUCAAGCGUUGUUCGGAUUUACUGGGCGUAAAGGGCGCGUAGGCGGUCAGCACAGUUCAGUUGUGAAAUCUCCGAGCUUAACUCGGAAAGGUCAACUGAUACUGUGCGACUAGAGUGCGGAAGGGGCAACUGGAAUUCUUGGUGUAGCGGUGAAAUGCGUAGAUAUCAAGAGGAACACCUGCGGCGAAGGCGGGUUGCUGGGCCGACACUGACGCUGAUGCGCGAAAGCCAGGGGAGCGAACGGG
rnacentral:rRNA from 1 species